rnacentral:rRNA from 1 species
GAUGAACGCUGGCGGCGUGCUUAAUACAUGCAAGUCGAGCGGUAACAUGGACUUCGGUCUGAUGACGAGCGGCGGACGGCUGAGUAACACGUAGGAACGUACCCCAAACUGAGGGAUAAGCACCAGAAAUGGUGUCUAAUACCGCAUGUGCUCUACGGAGUAAAGCUACGGCGGUUUGGGAACGGCCUGCGUAUGAUUAGCUUGUUGGUGAGGUAAUGGCUCACCAAGGCGACGAUCAUUAGCUGGUCUGAGAGGAUGAUCAGCCAGACUGGGACUGAGACACGGCCCAGACUCCUACGGGAGGCAGCAGUAGGGAAUUUUCCGCAAUGGGCGAAAGCCUGACGGAGCAACGCCGCGUGCAGGAUGAAGGCCUUCGGGUUGUAAACUGCUUUUAUCUGUGAAGAUUAUGACGGUAGCAGAUGAAUAAGGAUCGGCUAACUCCGUGCCAGCCGCCGCAGUAA